AUUGAACGCUGGCGGCAGGCCUAACACAUGAAAGUCGAACGGAGUGGCGGACGGGUGAGUAAUGUCUGGUAAACUGCCUGAUGGAGGGGGAUCACUACUUGAAACGGGCGCUAAUACCGCAUACUAUCAGAUGAGCCUAGGUCGGAUUAGCUAGUUGGUGGGGUAAAGGCCUACCAAGGCGACGAUCCGUAACUGGUCUGAGAGGAUGAUCAGUCACAAUGAAACUGAGAGAAGGUCCAGACUCCUACGGGAGGAAGCAGGUGGGAAGAUUGGAAAAUGGGCGAAAGCCUGAUCCAGCCAUGCCGCGUGUGUGAAGAAGGUAUUCGGAUUGUAAAGCACUUUAAGUUGGGAGGCGUUACCAACAGAAUAAGCACCGGCUAACUUCGUGCCAGCAGCCGCGGUAAUUC
rnacentral:rRNA from 1 species